rfam:Camelus ferus unplaced genomic scaffold scaffold993, whole genome shotgun sequence.
GUGGGUAUAGCUCAAUGGUAGAGCACAUGCUUAGCAUGCAUGAGUUUCUGGUUUCAAUUCCUGGUACCUCCA